rnacentral:rRNA from 1 species
AACGAACGCUGGCGGCAGGCUUAACACAUGCAAGUCGAACGCCCCGCAGGGGGAGUGGCAGACGGGUGAGUAACGCGUGGGAAUCUACCCAUCCCUACGGAACAACUCCGGGAAACUGGAGCUAAUACCGUAUACGCCCUUAGGGGGAAAGAUUUAUCGGGGAUGGAUGAGCCCGCGUUGGAUUAGCUAGUUGGUGGGGUAAAGGCCUACCAAGGCGACGAUCCAUAGCUGGUCUGAGAGGAUGAUCAGCCACAUUGGGACUGAGACACGGCCCAAACUCCUACGGGAGGCAGCAGUGGGGAAUAUUGGACAAUGGGCGCAAGCCUGAGCCAGCCAUGCCGCGUGAGUGAUGAAGGCCUUAGGGUUGUAAAGCUCUUUCACCGAUGAAGAUAAUGACGGUAGUCGGAGAAGAAGCCCCGGCUAACUUCGUGCCAGCAGCCGCGGUAAAAC